rnacentral:rRNA from 1 species
UACGAAGGGGGCUAGCGUUGCUCGGAAUCACUGGGCGUAAAGGGUGCGUAGGCGGGUCUUUUAAGUCAGGGGUGAAAUCCUGGAGCUCAACUCCAGAACUGCCUUUGAUACUGAAGGUCUUGAGUUCGGGAGAGGUGAGUGGAACUGCGAGUGUAGAGGUGAAAUUCGUAGAUAUUCGCAAGAACACCAGUGGCGAAGGCGGCUCACUGGCCCGAUACUGACGCUGAGGCACGAAAGCGUGGGGAGCAAACAGG